rnacentral:rRNA from 1 species
UACGUAGGGUGCAAGCGUUGUCCCGGAAUUAUUGGGCGUAAAGAGCUCGUAGGCGGUCUGUCGCGUCGGCUGUGAAAUCCCGGAGCUCAACUCCGGGUCUGCAGUCGAUACGGGCAAACUGGAGUACUGCAGGGGAGACUGGAAUUCCUGGUGUAGCGGUGAAAUGCGCAGAUAUCAGGAGGAACACCUGUGGCGAAAGCGGCUCACUGGACCACAACUGACGCUGAGGCGCGAAAGCUAGGGGAGCAAACAGG